GUGAGGAAUAUUGGUCAAUGGGCGCAAGCCUGAACCAGCCAUGCCGCGUGCAGGAAGACGGUCCUAUGGAUUGUAAACUGCUUUUAUUUGGGAAUAAACUCCGGUACGUGUACCGGCCUGAAGGUACCAAAUGAAUAAGCACCGGCUAACUCCGUGCCAGCAGCCGCGGUAAUACGGAGGGUGCAAGCGUUAUCCGGAAUCAUUUGGUUUAAAGGGUCCGCAGGCGGUCUUAUAAGUCAGUGGUGAAAGCCUACAGCUCAACUGUAGAACUGCCAUUGAUACUGUAGGACUUGAAUUCGAUCGAAGUGGGCGGAAUGUGACAUGUAGCGGUGAAAUGCUUAGAUAUGUCACAGAACACCGAUAGCGAAGGCAGCUCACUAGGUCUGGAUUGACGCUCAGGGACGAAAGCGUGGGGAGCAAACAGGAUUAGAAACCCUGGUAGUCC
rnacentral:rRNA from 1 species